GACGAACGCUGGCGGCGUGCCUAAUACAUGCAAGUAGAACGCUGAAGGAGGAGCUUGCUUCUCUGGAUGAGUUGCGAACGGGUGAGUAACGCGUAGGUAACCUGCCUGGUAGCGGGGGAUAACUAUUGGAAACGAUAGCUAAUACCGCAUAAGAGUAGAUGUCGCAUGACAUUUGCUUAAAAGGUGCAAUUGCAUCACUACCAGAUGGACCUGCGUUGUAUUAGCUAGUUGGUGAGGUAACGGCUCACCAAGGCAACGAUACAUAGCCGACCUGAGAGGGGGGUCGGCCACACUGGGACUGAGAAACGGCCCAGACUCCUACGGGAGGCCGCAGUAGGGAAUCUUCGGCAAUGGACGGAAGUCUGACCGAGCAACGCCGCGUGAGGGAAGAAGGUUUUCGGAUCGUAAAGCUCUGUUGUAAGAGAAGAACGAGUGUGAGAGUGGAAAGUUCACACUGUGACGGUAUCUUACCAGAAAGAGACGGCUAACUACGUG
rnacentral:rRNA from 1 species